UAAUGACUCAGUGUAUAAAGACGA
rnacentral:miRNA from 1 species